AUGAACGCUGGCGGCGUGCCUAAUACAUGCAAGUCGAGCGAACAGACGAGGAGCUUGCUCCUCUGACGUUAGCGGCGGACGGGUGAGUAACACGUGGAUAACCUACCUAUAAGACUGGGAUAACUUCGGGAAACCGGAGCUAAUACCGGAUAAUAUAUUGAACCGCAUGGUUCAAUAGUGAAAGACGGUUUUGCUGUCACUUAUAGAUGGAUCCGCGCCGCAUUAGCUAGUUGGUAAGGUAACGGCUUACCAAGGCGACGAUGCGUAGCCGACCUGAGAGGGUGAUCGGCCACACUGGAACUGAGACACGGUCCAGACUCCUACGGGAGGCAGCAGUAGGGAAUCUUCCGCAAAGGGCGAAAGCCUGACGGAGCAACGCCGCGUGAGUGAUGAAGGUCUUCGGAUCGUAAAACUCUGUUAUUAGGGAAGAACAAAUGUGUAAGUAGCUAUGCACGUCUUGACGGUACCUAAUCAGAAAGCCACGGCUAACUACGUG
rnacentral:rRNA from 1 species